rnacentral:rRNA from 1 species
UACGGAGGGGGUUAGCGUUGUUCGGAAUUACUGGGCGUAAAGCGUACGUAGGCGGAUUAAUAAGUUAGAGGUGAAAUCCCAGGGCUCAACCCUGGAACUGCCUUUAAAACUGUUAGUCUUGAGAUCGAGAGAGGUGAGUGGAAUUCCAAGUGUAGAGGUGAAAUUCGUAGAUAUUUGGAGGAACACCAGUGGCGAAGGCGGCUCACUGGCUCGAUACUGACGCUGAGGUACGAAAGUGU